AGUGAACGCUGGCGGCGUGCCUAACACAUGCAAGUCGAACGACAACACAGUAAGCUCUUGCCCUUGCCGUUGGCGAGUGGCGGGCGGGUGAGAAGUACAUCAGAAUCUACUUUUUCGUGGGGGACAACGGAGGGAAACUUACGCUAAUGCCGCAUAUGACCUACGGGUUGAUGCAGUAGAUCUUCGUACCUUGGCCGUCUCUAUGAGAUGAUCUUGCGUCGUAUUGGCUAGUGGGUAAGGUAACGGCUAACCAAGGCUACGAUGCGUAGCUGACCUGAGAGGAUGAUCGGCCACACUGGAACUGAGACACGGUCCAGACUCCUACGGGAGGCAGCAGUGGGGAAUAUUGGGCAAUGGGCGCAAGCCUGACCCAGCAAUACCGCGUGGGUGAAGAAGGCCUUCGGGUGGUAAAGCCCUUUUGUUGGGAAAGAAAAGCAGCAGGUGAAUACCUCGCUGUUCUGACGGUACCCAAAGAGUAAGCACCGGCUAACUUCGUG
rnacentral:rRNA from 1 species